rnacentral:misc_RNA from 1 species
GAUGAAGAACGUAGCGAAAUGCGAUAAGUAAUGUGAAUUGCAGAAUUCAGUGAUUCAUCGAAUCUUUGAACGCACAUUGCGCCCGCCAGUAUUCUGGCGGGCAUGCCUGUUCGAGCGUCAUUACAACCCUCAGGCCCCCGGGCCUGGCGUUGGGGAUCGGCGGAGCCCCCCGUGGGCACACGCCGUCCCCCAAAUGCAGUGGCGGUCCCGCCGCAGCUUCCAUCGCGUAGUAGCUAACACCUCGCGACUGGAGAGCGGCGCGGCCACGCCGUAAAACACCCAACUCUUCUGAAGUUGACCUCGAAUCAGGUAGGAAUACCCGCUGAACUUAAGCAUAUCAAUAAGCGGAGGA